rnacentral:rRNA from 1 species
AGAGUUUGAUCCUGGCUCAGGACGAGCGCUGGCGGCACGCUUAACACAUGCAAGUCGAACGAGAGAAGAGGAGCUUGCUUUUCUGAUCUAGUGGCGGACGGGUGAGUAACACGUGAGCAAUCUGCCUUUCAGAGGGGGAUACCGAUUGGAAACGAUCGUUAAUACCGCAUAACAUAAUUGAACCGCAUGAUUUGAUUAUCAAAGAUUUAUCGCUGAAAGAUGAGCUCGCGUCUGAUUAGCUAGUUGGUAAGGUAACGGCUUACCAAGGCGACGAUCAGUAGCCGGACUGAGAGGUUGAUCGGCCACAUUGGGACUGAGACACGGCCCAGACUCCUACGGGAGGCAGCAGUGGGGAAUAUUGUACAAUGGAGGAAACUCUGAUGCAGCGAUGCCGCGUGAGGGGAGAAGGUUUUAGGACUGUAAACCUCUGUCUUCAGGGACGAAAAAAGACGGUACCUGAGGAGGAAGCUCCGGCUAACUACGUGCCAGCAGCCGCGGUAAUACGUAGGGAGCGAGCGUUGUCCGGAAUUACUGGGUGUAAAGGGAGCGUAGGCGGGAUCGCAAGUCAGAUGUGAAAACUAUGGGCUUAACCCAUAAACUGCAUUUGAAACUGUGGUUCUUGAGUGAAGUAGAGGUAAGCGGAAUUCCUAGUGUAGCGGUGAAAUGCGUAGAUAUUAGGAGGAACAUCAGUGGCGAAGGCGGCUUACUGGGCUUUAACUGACGCUGAGGCUCGAAAGCGUGGGGAGCAAACAGGAUUAGAUACCCUGGUAGUCCACGCCGUAAACGAUGAUUACUAGGUGUGGGGGGACUGACCCCUUCCGUGCCGCAGCAAACGCAAUAAGUAAUCCACCUGGGGAGUACGACCGCAAGGUUGAAACUCAAAGGAAUUGACGGGGGCCCGCACAAGCAGUGGAGUAUGUGGAUUAAUUCGAAGCAACGCGAAGAACCUUACCAGGUCUUGACAUCGUAUGCAUAGCUCAGAGAUGAGUGAAAUCUCUUCGGAGACAUAUAGACAGGUGGUGCAUGGUUGUCGUCAGCUCGUGUCGUGAGAUGUUGGGUUAAGUCCCGCAACGAGCGCAACCCUUACUGUUAGUUGCUACGCAAGAGCACUCUAGCAGGACUGCCGUUGACAAAACGGAGGAAGGUGGGGAUGACGUCAAAUCAUCAUGCCCCUUAUGACCUGGGCCUCACACGUACUACAAUGGCUGUCAACAGAGGGAAGCAAAGCCGCGAGGUGGAGCGAACCCCUAAAAGCAGUCUUAGUUCGGAUUGUAGGCUGCAACCCGCCUACAUGAAGUCGGAAUUGCUAGUAAUCGCAGAUCAGCAUGCUGCGGUGAAUACGUUCCCGGGCCUUGUACACACCGCCCGUCACGCCAUGGGAGUCGGUAACACCCGAAGCCUGUAGUCUAACCGCAAGGAGGACGCAGUCGAAGGUGGGAUUGAUGACUGGGGUGAAGUCGUAACAAGGUA